UCUGGCUCAGGACGAACGCUGGCGGCGUGCCUAAUACAUGCAAGUCGAACGGUCUUUCUAUGGAAGCUUGCUUCCACUGAGAAGAUAGUGGCGAACGGGUGAGUAACACGUGGGUAACCUGCCCAUAAGAGGGGGGAUAACAUCCGGAAACGGGUGCUAAUACCGCAUAGUUUUCUUGAUCGCAUGAUCGGGAAAGGAAAGACGGCCUUUGUGCUGUCGCUUAUGGAUGGACCCGCGGCGUAUUAGUUAGUUGGUGAGGUAACGGCUCACCAAGACGAUGAUACGUAGCCGACCUGAGAGGGUGAUCGGCCACAUUGGGACUGAGACACGGCCCAAACUCCUACGGGAGGCAGCAGUAGGGAAUCUUCCGCAAUGGACGAAAGUCUGACGGAGCAACGCCGCGUGAGUGAAAGAAGGUUUUCGGAUCGUAAAACUCUGUUGUCAGAGAAGAACAAGUUGGAGAGUAACUGCUCCAGCCUUGACGGUAUCUGACCAGAAAGCCACGGCUAACUACGUGCCAGCCGCGGC
rnacentral:rRNA from 1 species